rnacentral:rRNA from 1 species
UGGGGAAUCUUGGACAAUGGGCGCAAGCCUGAUCCAGCCAUGCCGCGUGAGUGAAGAAGGCCCUAGGGUUGUAAAGCUCUUUCGGCGGGGACGAUAAUGACGGUACCCGCAGAAGAAGCCCCGGCUAACUCCGUGCCAGCAGCCGCGGUAAUACGGAGGGGGCUAGCGUUGUUCGGAAUUACUGGGCGUAAAGCGCACGUAGGCGGGUCGUUAAGUCGGGGGUGAAAUCCUGGGGCUCAACCUCAGAACUGCCUUCGAUACUGGCGACCUUGAGUACGGGAGAGGUUAGUGGAAUUCCCAGUGUAGAGGUGAAAUUCGUAGAUAUUGGGAAGAACACCGGUGGCGAAGGCGGCGACCUGGUCCAUUACUGACGCUGAGGCGCGAAAGCGUGGGGAGCAAACA